AUUGAACGCUGGCGGCAUGCUUUACACAUGCAAGUCGAACGGCAGCGCGGGCUUCGGCCUGGCUGCGAGUGGCGAACGGGGGAGUAAUGCAUCGGAACGUGCCCAGUAGUGGUGGAUAGCCCGGCGAAAGCCGGAUUAAUACCGCAGACGACCUGAGGGUGCAAGCUGGGGGCCGAAAGGCCUCUCGCGAUGGGAGCGGCCGAUGUCGGAUUAGCUAGUUUGUGGGGUAAAGGCUUACCGAGGCGACGAUCGGUAGCUGGUCUGAGAGGACGACCAGCCACAGUGGGACUGAGCCAGGGACCAGACUACUAAGGGAGGGAGCAGUGGGCAACUUUGGACAAUGGGGGCAAACAUGAUACAGUCAUGCCGCGCGCGGGAAGACGGCGCUCGGGUUGUAAACAGGUUUUGUUCGGGAAGAAAUCCUCUGGGCUAAUACCACGGGGGGAUGACGGUAACGGAAGAAUAAGCACCGGCUAACUACGUG
rnacentral:rRNA from 1 species